rnacentral:rRNA from 1 species
UACAGAGGUCCCAAGCGUUGUUCGGAUUCACUGGGCGUAAAGGGUGCGCAGGCGGUUAUAUAAGACAGAUGUGAAAUCCCCGGGCUCAACCUGGGAACUGCGUUUGUGACUGUAUGACUAGAGUACGGUAGAGAGGGGUGGAAUUCCUGGUGUAGCAGUGAAAUGCGUAGAUAUCAGGAGGAACAUCGAUGGCGAAGGCAGCCCCUUGGACCUGUACUGACGCUCAUGCACGAAAGCGUGGGGAGCAAACAGG